GAUGAAGAACGUAGCGAAAUGCGAUAAGUAAUGUGAAUUGCAGAAUUCAGUGAAUCAUCGAAUCUUUGAACGCACAUUGCGCCCGCCAGUAUUCUGGCGGGCAUGCCUGUUCGAGCGUCAUUACAACCCUCAGGCCCCCGGGCCUGGCGUUGGGGAUCGGCGGAAGCCCCCUGCGGGCACAACGCCGUCCCCCAAAUACAGUGGCGGUCCCGCCGCAGCUUCCAUUGCGUAGUAGCUAACACCUCGCAACUGGAGAGCGGCGCGGCCACGCCGUAAAACACCCAACUUCUGAAUGUUGACCUCGAAUCCGGUAGGAAUACCCGCUGAACUUAAGCAUAUCAAUAAGCGGAGGA
rnacentral:misc_RNA from 1 species